GCUGAAAGCAUCUAAGCGGGAAGCCUGCUUCGAGAUGAGGACUCCCACCCACUUGAUGGGGUAAGGCUCCCAGUAGACGACUGGGUUGAUAGGCCAGAUAUGGAAGCCUGGUAACGGGUGGAGUUGACUGGUACUAAUAGGCCGAGGGCUUGUCCUC
rnacentral:rRNA from 1 species